ACAAGUCAGAAACAUCGUAAAUAGAUAAUCAUAGUUUAUUUGCUGUAGAAAAAUAUAAGACUCCAGACUGAUAGCAGCUGGCAUAGAGACAAAAAAUGGACGGAAUGAAUGAGACUACAGUAAAGGCAUUCCUACAUGUACAGCUAAGUGUAUCCAGCUAAUUUAAAAAACAAAAUCCAGCUAAUUUUUAUAAAAUUGAAAUCCAGCUAAUUUUUAUAAAAUUAAAAUCCAGCUAAUUUUUAUUAAAUUGAAAUUCAGCUAAUUUUGUAAAAUUCAAAUCAAUAAAACAAUAAUUUGAUGAACUCUCCUUAUCAAUUGAUCAAACAAUUUCCAAAAUCAGAUAUACCAUUGAGAUUCAUUUUAUAGACUGAAAAAGUUUGGAAAUGUUAGGUUCACAAUAAAUCUUUAUUGUUGGACACAAUUACGUGAUUACAUGUACAUAUUAAUGUAUCAGUUAUUAAUUCAUAGUUUUGAAAAUUAAUUAUUGAUGAUUUGAAAAUAAUUUUAGGUUAUUUCUUUAAUGUCAAAAUGCCCAAACCAAAAGUAAUGAACAUUUUCUAAAUGCUUUACACAUUUCAUCCUCAUACACCAAGACAAUGUAGAAUGUUGCAAAUGUAAACUUAAUUAUCUAAAUCCAUGCCCUGUGCCCCACAUAAGUUUACUUUUUAUGGAAUCAUAUAUCUGAACAUCAACAAAACAAUUAAAUCACCUUGAACAUGGAAGUUUUGAUAUAUUGUUAAGUUUGGUUUAUUUUGUUUAACGUCCUAUUAACAGCUAAGGUCAUUUAUAUAAGACAACAAAACAAGGACAAUUAAGUUUGCAUCUAAUUCCUUUAAACUAGAAGGGGUGUUUGACUUCUAAAUACCCAGGAAACCAACGACCCUAUAGCAUCCAAGUACUAAAACAAAGUAACUGAGGAUGUGCUCAAUUUCUAAUUUGUUUUAUCAUUGAUAAGAAAAAGAAAUGAGCUGAAAUUUUAGCAGGAUAUCACUAAUACUACUAAAUGCUACAUGUAUAGAAAUACAAAAAAAUGUAUUAGGUUUUGGAGUUUAAGAUGUAAACUUGAUGAACCUUGAUCAGAGGGUUGAAUUCAUGUAAUAAAACAAAACGAUAACAAAAAACUUACAGUACAUCUACAAGAAUUUUAUAAGCAUUUGACUUAAAACUAUACCCAAAAAAUCACCUGUACAGGAGUUUUAAAGGAGGUACAUUGUAAUUCACCAGUCACCUCAUAAAAUAUGCAAGACAAGCAUGAAUAAAAGUACUGUAAUUAACCAAGGAACAUAACAUUUUCAUACAAUAUACUAGACAAUGGUAAUCAUACAGGUAAUUCUUAUUGCAAUUCUACUGUAUUAUUAUACAGGUAAUAUCAUACAAGUAUACAUGUAUCAUCAUACAGGUAAUAUCAUACAAGUAUACAUGUAUCAUCAUACAAGUAUCACCAUACAGGUAUCAUCAGGUAUCAUCAAAAAGGUAUUGUCAUAAAAGUAUCACAAUACAGGUACCACCAUACAGGUAUCAUCAUACAGGUAUUGUCGUACAGGUAUUGUCAUACAGGUACACAUACAGGUAUUACAUACAAGUAUCGUCAUAUCAGUAUCUUUUAUAUCAGUAUAUCACCAUACAGGUAUUUUCAGACAGGUAUCACUAUACAGGUAUCAUGCUAAAGGUAUUGUCAUACAGGUAACAUCAAAAGGGUAUCAUUAUAGAAUAACAUGAAUAAUAGGAAAAUAUUACUGGUUAUCCCGGACAAAUCACUGAUAUACAUGUAUGUUUGUAUUAAGUAUCGACCUCAUUACCUGUCUAAUCAGAACCCCACCUGAACAACUGUAUAAACCAGACGACUAGGACAGGACCAUGAGAUUUAUAUACCUGAAUUAUUCCAAACUGUUGUGCAUUGUGUACAAAAUUGUUCAGGACAGGUUUUACUAUUCAGGGAACUGAUAUGUACAGCAUGUCAUUACGGUAGUAUUUUGAUUUUGCCAGAAACUGGAAGGAAAAUGACAUGAUAUCGUAAUGGUAUGUAUAUACAAUGUAUAAUUUAAUCUGUAAAAGAUAUGUACAUGAGUAAAGAUAUGGGAUUAUAUAGAAAGUCAUAUUAACAAAAUAUCACAGCUUACAAAAAUUACCCUUAGAAAUUACAAUAUCCAUGGUUACAUGUACCGUAUAUUACAAUCAAUUUCAUAUAAAAAAAAACCUACAAUAAACUAAAAAUUAAAAAAAAA